rnacentral:rRNA from 1 species
CAAACGACUCUCGGCAACGGAUAUCCCGGCUCUCGCAUCGAUGAAGAACGUAGCGAAAUGCGAUACUUGGUGUGAAUUGCAGAAUCCCGUGAACCAUCGAGUUUUUGAACGCAAGUUGCGCCCGAUGCCAUUAGGCUGAGGGCACGUCUGCCUGGGUGUCACGUA